GCCUUCGUGGUGUAAUGGUAGCACACUCGGCGCGUAUUCGAGAGGUCCAGGUUCGAAUCUCGGCGAAGGCA
rnacentral:tRNA from 1 species